rnacentral:rRNA from 1 species
UACGAAGGGGGCUAGCGUUGUUCGGAAUUACUGGGCGUAAAGCGCGCGCAGGCGGUCUUCCAAGUCAGUGGUGAAAGCCCGGAGCUCAACUCCGGAACUGCCAUUGAAACUGUGAGACUGGAGUACGAGAGAGGUGAGUGGAAUUCCCAGUGUAGAGGUGAAAUGCGUAGAUAUCGGGAGGAACACCAGUGGCGAAGGCGACUUUCUGGCCUGUUCUUGACGCUGAGGCGCGAAAGCUAGGGGAGCAAACGGG